UCUGCUGUUAAAGCGUGGAGCUUAACUCCAUCAUGGCAGUGGAAACUGAAAGGCUUGAGUAUGGUAGGGGCAGAGGGAAUUCCCGGUGUAGCGGUGAAAUGCGUAGAUAUCGGGAAGAACACCAGUGGCGAAGGCGCUCUGCUGGGCCAUUACUGACGCUCAUGGACGAAAGCCAGGGGAGCGAAAGGGAUUAGAUACCCCUGUAGUCCUGGCCGUAAACGAUGAACACUAGGUGUCGGGGGAAUCGACCCCUUCGGUGUCGUAGCUAACGCGUUAAGUGUUCCGCCUGGGGAGUACGCACGCAAGUGUGAAACUCAAAGGAAUUGACGGGGGCCCGCACAAGCGGUGGAGUAUGUGGUUUAAUUCGAUGCAACGCGAAGAACCUUACCAGGGUUUGACAUCCUGCGAACCUCUUAGAAAUUUGAGGGUGCCUUCGGGAAUGCAGUGACAGGUGGUGCAUGGCUGUCGUCAGCUCGUGUCGUGAGAUGUUGGGUUAAGUCCCGCAACGAGCGCAACCCACGUUUUUAGUUGCCAGCAUUUAGUUGGGCACUCUAGAAAGACCGCCGGUGAUAAACCGGAGGAAGGUGUGGAUGACGUCAAGUCAUCAUGCCCCUUACACCCUGGGCUACACACGUACUACAAUGCUACGGACAAAGGGCAGCAAACUCGCGAGAGCUAGCAAAUCCCAUAAACCGUGGCUCAGUUCAGAUCGUAGGCUGCAACUCGCCUACGUGAAGUAGGAAUCGCUAGUAAUCGCAGGUCAGCAUACUGCGGUGAAUACGUUCCCGGGCCUUGUACACACCGCCCGUCACACCAUGGAAGUUGGCCAUGCCCGAAGUCGUUACUCCAACCCUUGUGGAGGAGGACGCCGAAGGUGGGGCUAAUGACUGGGGUGAAGUCAUAACAAGGUAACCGUA
rnacentral:rRNA from 1 species